UACAGAGGCCUCGAGCGUUAAUCGGAGUCACUGGGCUUAAAGGGUGCGUAGGCGGCGCUGCAAGUGCCUUGUGAAAUCCCACGGCUCAACCGUGGAAUUGCUCGGCAGACUGCGGUGCUUGAGGUUGGUAGGGGUCGCUGGAACUCUAGGUGGGGCGGUGAAAUGCGUAGAUAUCUAGAGGAACGCCGAAGGUGAAGACAGGCGACUGGGCCAAUUCUGACGCUGAGGCACGAAAGCGUGGGGAGCGAACGGG
rnacentral:rRNA from 1 species